GAUUAACGCUGGCGGCGUGCAUAACACAUGCAAGUCGAACGAUGAAACUUAGUCGACUUCUUCGGAAAGACACUAAGCGGAUUAGUGGCGAACGGGUGAGUAACGCGUGAGUAACCUGCCUUACACAAGGGGAUAGCCUUUGGAAACGAAGAAUAAUACCCUAUAAAACCAUAAAAGCACAUGCUAGAAUGGUCAAAGUGAUAGCGGUGUAAGAUGGACUUGCGUCUGAUUAGCCAGUUGGUGAGAUAAAAGCUCACCAAGGCAACGAUCAGUAGCCGGCGUGAGAGAGUGUACGGCCAGAUUGGGACUGAGGCACGGCCCAGACUCCUACGGGAGGCAGCAGUGGGGAAUUUAGCACAAUGGGGGAAACCCUGAUGCAGCGACGCCGCGUGAUUUAGAAGGCCUUCGGGUUGUAAAAAUCUUUUGUAUAGGAAGAAAAUGACAGUACUAUACGAAUAAGGUCCGGCUAAUUACGUG
rnacentral:rRNA from 1 species